rnacentral:tRNA from 1 species
ACCCAGCUGGCUUAGUGGAGCAUGUGACUCUUGAUCUCAGGGCUAUGAAUUUGAGCCCCAUGUUGGGUG